ensembl:lncRNA
GCUACAUUUUAUUUUACAUACAUUUUACCUCAAAGACUGGAUUGGAAAAAAAAUGAAGAGUAUAAAGAAUAUCAUCCUAAAGUCCUUGUUUUGCAAGCAGAUUUUGCUACACAGUUGAAAUUGACCAUUAUCAUGGCAGAGAAGGCUAACUCUUCUUUAUAACUGUUAUGAAAAUAUUUAAACACUAAAAAAAUCAUUUGGAAAAGAAUAACACUAAGUCGGGGUGUGGCAGAGAAUGAGAAGACAGCAGAGGGGAGGAACAAGGCAAGAACGAAGCAAUCUUGGGUGCAGAAAAGGCUUGGUGAAUAUGAGGGCGAAGUCACAGGCCCUAUUAGGAGUAAUCUCAACAUCCGCCUGAAGGGAAUUUCGUGGGCUGUGGACCCCAACUCCCGGGACCCAUGUGCCUGGACUGCGGGAAUCUGAUCUAGGCCAGAUCCCCUCUCCCUGGAGCAGGCGGGUCAGCACAGAGAGAGAGCAGCUCAUCCCUUAGAGAGGACCACUGAUGGGAGCUCAGCCCUUAGGGAGGACCACGGAUGGGGAGGCGGCCCUGGCUCCUCCCAGUUGGCAAGUCCUGAUUUGCUCACUGCUGUGAUCCAGCUGUGACUCUGGGUUCAGUCCAUCUCUCCCCUCACAAUCCUUCAGGGAUUCUUCUCGUAAAGGUGAGAUUUGGCUGUUCUGGCCUUCCACAUAAGUGGGGACAUGCAGCAUGCACUGUUUCUGGUGUAAGGCCUCUUCUAAUUAGUAAGAUGCUGUUUCGAUUCAUCUCUAUUGUUGCCCAUUAUCAGGGAUUCUUUCCUGGAUAGCUGAGUAGUAUGAAUACUUCACAAUUUGUUUUUCUAUUCUCUUACGGAUUGGCACCAGAGGUAUUUCCCGGGUAGGUGAAUGUUUAGUUUUAUGAGAAACUGUGACUGUCUUUCAUAGCAGCGGCACCAUUUUAUCUUCUCACUAGAAGCAAGAAGCCUUCCAGGUGCUCCCCAUCCCAGCGAGCAUUUGGAGCUGUCAGACUUGCGAUCUUCACCCUUUCUGGUGGUUGCAUAAUGGUCUCUCUCACUGUGGUUCAAUUUUAAUUUCCCUGAUGGCUAAUGGUGUUGAACAUUUUUUAAAGGGCUUAGUGAACAUUUGUGAAUCGCUUUUUGGAAAGGGAUUGUUUAAAUGUUUUGCCCAUUUUUUAUUGGGUGGUUGGUCAUAUUAUUAUUAUUGUUAUUAUUCUUAUUACUAUUUAUCCUAACGGGAAAAAGAGAUUCAGCAGGAACAGCAAAAGGAGAGUUAGAAUUUGGGCAUCUCGUUUCAUGAUCAAUAUCUCGUGCAGGGAUGGGUAUAGGGGCAGACAGGGUUGGGGGCCUGGCAGGCAGGUCAGCCAAGUCAGUGUCCAGUAAUAAGGCAGGAGCUGGGAUGUGCAAGGUGCAAGUGGCAGGGGUCUCUGCAGUGCUGCAGCAGGCAGGAAGGAAGAACAGGCAGGCUGAUUGGCACUGCAGUCUGAAGUGGCCUCAGUUUUAUCCUCCAACACCUCGUGGUUCCGUUGGAGCUCAGCUUUCUCCUCCAAGCCUAGGUCCUCACCAAUGACUACGCAAGGAACCCAGGAGAUGGAGGCAGCUUUUCUCCUCCCAAAACACUAGCAGUGGCGGCAGCAAGGGGCGCAGACAUUUUCGUUUACAGAGCCUACAACUGGCAGAUGGCUUCGGAAAGUUCCUUCUUGACGGAGUAUCUGAAGCUUUGUUCCCUGUGUCCCCUCUGACUUCAGUGAGGCUGGAGAGCUGGGUGGAUGGCCUUCGUCCAGCUUUUGCUUUGUCCACCUCUUUGGCAGCAGGGGUAGGUUGAGAAUGGGCCACACAGCCCCCUACAUUCAGGUCAGUCCUCCACAGAGAGGGGCGGCCUCCAGGAGGGCUUUAAGAGCUGGGGAUGACAUGGCCUUUGGUGAAUGUGUAACAGCUAGAUCUUAAGUCAGCAUGAGGGCAGCCAGCUUAGGGAAAGGAAGCAAUAUUGAAUUACAGCCCUGCCUCACUAGUCUCUGUGAAUAUGUUCUCGCCUGCAUGUAGCCUAGGUGAUUAAGCACCUCUCACUUUUGCAGAAUACAUGAUCUGAUAGUUCUAUGACUCUUGCUUAUGUCUAUUUCCCAGCCGUGGUAAGACAAUAACUGUUCUCUGAGUUCCUCAGGAACAUGACGACUUCCAGGAAGAAAAAUCCUGCAUUGGUACCCAUCACAAAUGACAGAAGAAAGAAAGAAUGUGGCGCCUUGAAGUUCGUCACACGGGAUGGUCAACACCCACAAACCCCCUCCUUCACUGUCGGUUUCCCCUAUAUAACUGCCUCAAGAUUCUGUAUGAUUUGAGCAUGCUUCUUCAGGACACCAGUCCACCAUCUUCCGAUUAUGCUUAGCUAAUCAGAUAAAUUCUUUCCUCAACCACUGGCUUAUUUGCAAUUGAUUGGCACCAGGCUGCAUCGAGCAGGAGCCCCUUUUUGCUCGGUUAUAAAUGGGCUCAGAAGAUGUUUUCACUUUCUUAUUCAAGGUGUCUCCUGGGAGCUGGGAAUGGAGGUUUCCCUUGGAGGCCCAGGACUGCGCCGGAAGGAAGUGAGGGCCGCACCACCCCUGCGGGGUCCAGGGCCCUACCUGCUGAAGGCCCCCUCUCACUGCUAUGGGGGCCAGCGAGGAGCACUUCUCUGACGGUCCAUCCUGUGCUAUUUUUCUCCUCUUCUCUGCUCUUCCUUUUGUAGGAUCUUCAGGUGUGUCCCCUUUAGGCAAAGAUCUAGUGGCGACGGGAUGGCCCAGGCCUCGGAGAGGAGGCUGCCUGCUCAAGCGCCAAACGGAAGAGAGUCAUUUUGCAUCCUGGAGGAGGAAUUGUGCCCGUUCCUGAGGAGAGGAGCAACUUGGAAGAGCAAGCAGACAGCAAUGGCUUCUGAGACCCGAAGGUCAGACACACACACACCGCACCAAGGCAAGGACUCACAGAGAGGAGCACUGGGCCUGCCAGACCAGACCUUAGCUUAGCCUCUUAGCCGCAGUGUAAAAUAGGGGCGAUAAGGACCCGCGACUGCAGUAAACAGCCCGAACCAGGCCGGGAGGGUUAUUUAGACCAGACAGGAACGGAGCGGGGCGGGCGGGUGCGAGGCUUGUUGAGGAACGUGCCCCCGAGGAGCAGUUUGCGCGCUGUGGGAUCCUUGGAGAGGACUGGGACCCUCGGGGAGGUCUCCUGGCUGCCAGCUCUCCGCGCUAGGCACACACCGUCCAGCCGGCUGUGGUGAGACACCGUUGGAACGGGUGACAGAGACAGGGCGCGCGAGCCUAGGGCAGGAGGAAGUAGCGACAAAGGGCAAAGGGAGAGGUCCAACGGCCCAACCCCAGGUGGCCUCGACCUCCCCGGGACUCCGCGCAGAUGUGAAGUAUUGCGGGGGCUCACCCUCAUAUGUGCCCCCCACAAUGUAGGGACUCUUUGGGUCUGCGGCUGCUCGACCCUGCAGCGCCUGGCCCGGGGACAGUAGCUUCUGCGAUCAGUGUCCAAGCAUCCUGCAGCUACUUCCCCGGGGUCACCGGAGGGAAGAACCUGCUCAGAGUCAGAGGAGCAGCCCAGCUCCAGCAGGGAUGAUGUGGCCUACAGUGAGGUCAGACGGUGGGGGAAACACAGGGCAGAAGCAAGAGUGAGUCACCCCAUCUCUGCCUCCUGGGCCGCCGUCCCUUGCAGACCUCCGAACGAAGUCAGCACGUGGAGUUGCAGAGUGUGGCUACAUUAGUCAGAGAACAAAGACGUGCGAGCAGGGGACGAAUUAACAUGAAGAAGGCUUUAUAUAGUUAACCUGGCAAAGAAAGUGAAAGGACCAUGAAGACACUGGUGGAACUUCCCAAGCCAGUGUAUCGGCCUCUGACCAGCCUCAUCUUAACCCAUCUCCUAUGGCAUGUACAAAAGGACCUUGAGGUGUGGGGCCUCUGCUUGCUAUAGGAAGAAAAAGAGGUUAAGUUUGUGUGACGUAACUGGAAUGGGCUGAGCCUCUUCCUAGCGGAGUGAAGUUCACUCGUGGGAGACACUGGCCAUCUGCCACCAUGUCUAGAGGAAACUUUUGCAUCUGGGCCGUUGAGUUCCUGCCUCUUUCACUAGAAGAAAAUGAAUGAACUGGCGAUUUACCACUUGCAUCUGGGCAGGGGACUUAGCACCAUGGGCACCUACAACGAGCACACGCACUGCCUACUAGCAGGUCUGGAUUGGUUCAACUCCUAAGGCACCCACAGGCCACGCUGGGCUCCGGUAUCCUCGGAAUCUUCUGGGAGCUCUGGAAAGGAGGACACAGCACCAAUUGUCAGCAUCACCCCUUCAGGCAUUUCUUCACUAAGGGAGCCAUGCAGCAAACCACACAGCUGUCUGUGAGCUUUCUUCCCCCAGGUGCAGGAUCCACCCUGGCUGAAAAGUCUUAUGUCCCAAGGACACCAGCGUAUGUUGUAAUAAUUCCAUGGAUCCACUUUAAGGACCCUGAUCGAAAUUAACAACUUUCCAAUCUUAAAUUUUCCAUUCCAUCAAAAUGGUACAUAUUUCCUUAUAUUUAGGACUUUCAGAUUUUCUCUCAGAAAACACUUUGCUGUAGGGAUUGACAAUUAACAGCCCAUGGGCCAAGAUUGUGCCGCAGCCUGUUUUUGUAAAGCCAAUGAGCUGAGGAUGGUGUUAACAACUAUUAAAGUUUGUUAAAAAAAAAAAAAAAAGAAAGAAAAGGAAAAAGAAGAAAAAGAAAAAUGGAGAAUAUGCAACAAGACCAUAUGUAACCUGCAAAGUCUGUGUUAUUUAUUAUCUGGCCCUUUACAGAAAAAUUUGCCAACACCUCUUUUGUAGUUGUAGUGGUGUUAGACAACACUUGCUAAUCUAUUCCUAAAUUUCUUCUAUGCUAUCACAAAUGGUACCUUUUAAAUUUUAGUUUUCAAUUAUUCAUUGGUAGAAAAUACAACUGAUUUUUAUAUGUUAACCUUGUAUGCUGGAUUUUGUCAUUUUUGUAGUGAAGUGUUUAAGCACACUUUAUAUAAAGAUAUUUCUAACAAUCUAUUUUCAAGAUUCAUUCAGCAAGUGUUAUUUUAGUGAAUGGAAGUAAUACCCAUUCUGUAGAACUUGUAGUAAUUAUUUCUAGUAUUUUCUUUGUAGAUUCCUUAGGAUUUUCUAAACACACAAUCAUGUUUUCAACGAAUAAAGAUAGUUUUACUUCCUUUUUAUUCUGUGGCCUUUUAUUUAUUUUUUAUACCUUUAUAGUUGCUAUAAUUACAGUAAAAUGUUGAGAAAAGGUAGAGCUAAUAGGCAUCUUUUUCCCACUCCUGAUCUUAAGGGAAAAGUGUUCAGCAAGCGAUUAAAUGAAGGUUUGUUGCACUUUAUCACUUGAAGGAAGUUUCCUCUAAUUACUAUUUUGCUGAAAGGGAUUUUCUAUUUCCUCUAAUUACUAUUUUUUGAAAGGGAUGUUCAAUUUUGUCAAUUACUUUGCCCACAGUUUUAAGAUAAUCACAUGGCUUUUCUCCUUUAUUUUCUAAAUGUGAUGAAUUACUUUGACUGCUUUCUGAGUGUUAAACCAAACUUGCAUGCUUGGCACAAAUCCCAUUGGUACUCCUAGAUCAUCAUUUUAUAUUUGGUUGGAUUAGAUUUCCUAAAAUGUAGUUAAAGAUUUUUUAUCUCUGUGUUCAUGAGGGAUAUUGAACUGUGAAUUUCUUUGUCAUUAGGUUUGGUAUUAGGAUAAUACUGGCCUAGAAGAAUGAGUUAGGAAAAAUUUCCUCCAUCUCUACUCUCUGAAAGAUUUUAUAUAACACUAGUAAAAUAUUGUCCUUACAAGUCUGAUAGAAUUCACCAGGAAAACCAUCUGGAUCUUUAGUUUUCAUCAUGGAAAGGAGUUUAGAGUCACUUGGCCACUUGUUGUCCUUUUAAUAUCUGUCAGAUCUGUAGUGAUGCACCCCUCUUUAUUCCUGAUGUUGGCCAUUUGAUUUUUUCCUUUCUAUUUCUUGAUAUAACUUGCUAGAGGUUUAUCAGUUUUAUUAAUCUUUUAAAAAUCCACAUUUAGCUUUGUUAAUUUUCUCUAAUACACAUUUUCUAUUUCUACUCUUCUACUAUUUCUUUAUCUCUCCUGACUUUGGUUUUAAUUUACUCUCCUAUUUCUCUAAUCUUAGGAUGGAAAACUAAAUCUUUGUUUUAAAAUCUUAUCUUUUGAUACAAGCACUUAACUCUGUAACAUUCUCUUAAGUACUGCUUGAGCUACAUCUCAAAAAUUUUGAUUUGCUGUGUUUUAGUUAUCAUUAAAUUCAAAAUGUUUUCUAAUUUUCCCAAUUUCUUCUUUGACCCAUUGGUUAAAUAGAAGUUUGUUUUAUUUACGCAUAUUUGAAUAUUUUCUAGAUAUCUUACUGGUUUUGAUUUCUACUUUAAUUCUAUUGCUGUCAGGUAAAAAUACUCUGCAUGAUUUCUCUCUCUUAAAAUUUGCCAAGACAUUUUUUUUUUUUUGCCCAGUAUAUGCUUAUCUUCAUGAACAUUCCACGUACAGUUGAAAAAGAAUAUGUAUUCAGUUAUUUUUGUGUACAAUAUUUUAUAAUAUUUGCUAUUUUAUUUAUUUUAUAAUUGCCAAUUAAAUGAAGAUAAAUCUUCUAUGCUCUUACUUGUUUUUGUCUACCUGUUCUAAUAAAUAUUGUGAGAGGGUUGUUAAAAUCUCAAACUAUUAUUGUAAUCUGUCUACUUUAGUUUGGACAGUUUUUGCCUUAUAUAUUUUGAAAUUCUGAUAUUAAGUGCAUAAACAUUUAAGAUAUUUUUAUCUUCCUAGUGAAUUGACCCUUUUGUCAUUAGAACACGUCCCUCUGUAUAGCCAGUAACAAUCCUUGUCUUGAAAUCUGAUUUGACUGAUGUUAAUUUAGCCCCAUCGUAUCUGUUAUUCUUAGAAUGACCAGCAUCCCAGGUUGCCAGGAAAUGUCCCGCUUUCAGCCCUGUAGUCCCACAUCCUGGAAAAACUCCCAAUUCCUGGCAAAAUGGGAACGUUAGUCACCGUUGUUAUCCUAGUGUUCGCAUGGUAUAUCUUGUUACAUCAUUUUGUUUUCAACCUCAUAUAAAACAAAUAUAGUUGGGUCUUGCUUUUGCUCAUCCAGUUAAGGAAACUCUGCCUUUUAAAUGGCGUGGUUGGUCCAAUUAUAUUUAAUGUGAUUACUUAUUUGGUUGCAUUCAAAUCUGCUAUCUAUGUAGUGUAGAAUAAUUCCAGGUGCUUCACAUCCUUGCUGACAUUUGCAAUGGCAGAUUUUUUCAAAUUUAUUCUGGUGACGUGUAGUGGUAUCUCACUGUGGUUUUUUUAUUUCCCUCGUUACUAACAAUGCUGAGCACUUUUCGUGUACUUAUUGGACAUUAGUGAAUAUUUUUUGGUAAGGGAUUGAUAACAUUUACUUUCUAGGGUUGCUUUAAGAGAUUUUGAACAUUGCAUAAAGCAUAAUGUUAGUACACAAUAAAUGCCAAG